rnacentral:lncRNA from 1 species
ACAGCGUGAGGGCCGCCGUUGCUGGAGUUCAGCUUAGGGAAGGAGGACUCUGAGGAGGCCCCGAGCGGCGGAGCGCUUCGGGGGAGGCGCCCGCGCAGACGCGAGGCCCAUAGCCAGGACCACCACCUAGCUGUUCUACAGUCUGGGGACGACGGUUUAAAAAUUUAUGCCUUGCAUGCGAUGUGCAGUGGGUGAUGGAAGAACGUCUACAUGGCUUUAAAAUUGGAUUUAAAAGGCAAAUAUUUUAAAUGAAGGAAAACCCAAGAAGUUUACUUGAUUCCUUAUCUUCCAGGAUGCGACUUUUGUUUAUUUAUUUAUUUUAUUUUGAUGGAGUCUCGCUGCCGUCGCGCAGGCUGGAGUGCAGUGACGCGAUCUUGACCCGGGAACCUCCACCUCCCGGGUUCAAGCGAUUCUCCUUCCUCAACCACCCGAGUAGCUGGGAUUACAGGCGUGUGCCACCAUGCCCGGCUAAUUUUUGUGUUUUUAGUAGAGACCGGGGAAGGUAUGGGCCCUCUUUUGAGAAAAAUGCAGAGUGACACUGAAUUUUGUAACUACAUCAGGAGGCUCUUGAACCUUCUGCAGCUCACUCGUGGAGUUUGUAGAGAUGCGUAAUAAUCCGAAGUGUUAAGGAAGAAGGUUCUGUUGAGAAAAAGUUGGAGGGCUGAAAGGGAUGCCUUUCGCUAUUUCGACAUGUGUGGCUGUACCCCAGAGUGCCCUGGCUAACACGCAAAACCAUGAAUUAGGCGGCUUGGCGAGGCUCAGUGGAGGCUGGGGCCGAGAGUCAUGUCAAAGUUUGUGGGGUUAACCUGCACCCAGUGACAGUCAUGGCGAAGUUUGUGAGGUUAACUCGCACCCAGUAACGCUGUUCCAAUGCAAGGUGUGUAUUUGGUGUCAUCCACGGGAAGAGGAAACAGCAAAUUUUCUCAUGGCCUUGGCAGUUCCACAUGAUGGACAUUUCAUAUCUGCAGUUUUCUUCGCAUGAGAUGGCUUUUUUGCACAAAAACACUGGAAUCCAGUGAGCAAGAAUGAUAGAAUGCAAGAUGGAUUUCCACAUGAGGAAGUGUCACGAACAAGCGUUUUGCAUCUCUGUCAGCUGGAUUCCCCCAUGUGUACGUAUGUGAGAACAUGCCGUGUUUCCUGUCUGUAAUGGUAGAGGCAGCCCUGAUACUGGAUUUUCACCUGAGGAUGGAUAGAUCUUCAGGGUUCAAGUGGGUUUGCAUCUGGACUUUAGGGUGGCCCUGUAGGCCCUGUGUGAGAAGCCCCCUUCCCAGUGAACUUUCCCUUGUGUGCCCGCGUGGACAGCCAACAGGGGGAGCAGUGCGAGCGUGAAGGCAGACAGUGGCCUGGCCCAGUCUGAUGGUAAGUGGGCCAGAGGCAGUGAGUACCAUUUCUUGAUCUGACUACUCAAGACAGGCGCUUCCCUAGGUACUUUCACACCUCAUUGCGAGGUACGUGUUGUUCCCAUUUUACAGGUGCAGAAGCUGAGCUGCAGAGGCGUUAGGUACCUGCCUCAUAAGUGGUAGAGACUCCAGUGUCACCCUGCCCCUCACGUUCGGAGCCCCCGAGGGAGGGUCUGCCGGGCAGCUCAGCCCAGCACUCUGUAAGGAAAUCUUCAGUGCCACUGCCCAGGAUGUCUUCCCGGGGAUUGGGCCUGAAUGUCUUGACCAUGCCGUGCUGGAGGUAGGAGGGGUGUCUUCAUAUGGAAGAACUGUACAUAUUUCUUUGGCAGAUGGCUGAACUCUGUGACCCCGGGGCCUGUUUCAGCCUCCUGCUGUCAGAAAGCAGCUGUUUGGGAAGAGGCUGUGAUUCGGCCUUGUUUGAGGGCCGAUACUCUGAAUGGGUGAGGCUUGGAAUCCUCCCUUUGGAACAAAGAAACAUAAUGAUUUUGCUGAAGGUAGAAUUGGGGGACUAGGCAGAGUGGCCUCCUGCCCUCCCUGGGGUGGUUCUGUCUUUUGCAAAGGUGGCUGCAUCCUUAGGGGAAGGUGAGGGGAGAAGCAGGGAGCAUGGAGAGAAGUGGCUUUCGAUUUUCUCUCUCCUUUUGGGGAGUUCCUCCUUAUGUGGCUGGUCUGGUGCAUAGUGUGAUGUAUUCCUGUACGCAACGUUGCCCUGACAGCCAGUCCAAGCUGAGUCUAGAGCUGGCAAGGUGAGCUCCCAGUAGUAAGAGGGUGUGGGCGGCAAGCCACCCAGGCACCGAGGCAAGAGACAGAGGACACGAGCUGUUCCAGUAUAAUAAAAUAUAAAACAAGAAUAGUUAUACCAGAUAUAGAUCUUAGAUAUGAUUAUAUAUGAAUAUCAUUAAUCAUGAGUUUGCAGCAAUUACUUUUUAUUCCAAUAUUAUGAUAAUCCUCGCUCUAUAAUCAUAGCCUAGGAAAAACCAGGCCAUACAGAGGAGCUGAGGGGACAUAGUGAGGUGUGACCAGAAGACAAGAGUGCGAGGCUUCUGUUAUGCCCGGACAGGGCCACAAGAGGGCUCCUUGGUCUAGCGGUGACGCCAGCGUCUGGGAAGACGCCCGUUACCCGGCGGAUCGUGGCCCAGUGGUAGCAAAAGGUGUCAAGGAACAACACUCACUACUUAGCAGACCGGGAAAGGGGCGGGGGGGGGGUCUCCCUUUCCCCGGGGGAGUUUAGAAAAGACUCUGCUCCUCCACCUCUUGUGGAGGGCCUGACAUCAGUCAGGCUUGCCCGUAGUUAUCCGGAGGCCUAACUGUCUCCCUGUGAUGCUGUGCUUCAGUGGUCACACUCCUUGUCUGCCUUCAUGUUCCAUCCUGUACACCUGGCUCUGCCUUCUAGAUAGCAGUAGUAAAUUAGUGAAAAUACUAAUAGUCCCUGAUAUGCAGAAAUAAUGGUAUAAGCUGUCUUUCUCUCUGUCUCCUCUCCCUCUCUGCCUCGGCUGCCAGGCAGGGAAGGGCCCCCUGUCCAGUGGACACGUGACCCACGUGACCUUACCUAUCAUUGGAGGUGACUCACAUUCUUUACCCUGCCCCUUCUGUCUUGUAUCCGAUAAAUAACAGCGCAGUCAGACAUUCGGGGCCACUACCGGUCUCCGCGCAUUGGUGGUAGUGGUCCCCCGGGCCCAGCUGCCUUUUCUCUUAUCUCUCUGUCUUGUGUCUUUAUUUCUACACUCUCUCAUCGCCACACACAGGGAGAGACCCACCGACCCUGUGGGGCUGGUCCCUACAUCUGGCGCUCUGACGUGGGGCUCUCCCUCGCUGUGUGAAGUUGCACCCUGAGUGCGGGAUCAGCGGAGGAGUUCAACGAGAGAUUCCUGAGGAUUGCAGUCUAUAAACUUGGUGGAAAAGAACUACAGCCUGUGUGGGUCCCCUCCCGACAAUUAAAAUUGCACCAUAACUCCAAAGAUGAAACGCUCCCAGAAAGAAAAGGCAAAGACCCAUCGGAAACAAAAGAGCAACUUUCACCGCCUGAUACAUACACUUCAUGACAUCCACAUUGAGACAAAAUCUCGCCGUGUGACCUACAACACCUCUCGUUCAACCCCACCUACUUGGGGUCGAAUACAGAUUUUAUCUCAUCAAACAGAAAAAUUCUUAACAGAAAAAGGAAUCCCAAAAAUGACUGGUAAUAUAAUUCUGGCUGCCUUUAUGGUAGUCAGUGCAGCGGUAAGUAUACCACCGGUCGGGGCAACUCAAAAUUAUACUUAUUGGGCAUAUGUUCCUUUUCCCCUUCUAAUUCGGUCUGUCUCCUGGAGGGACUCUCCAGUAGAAGUUUACACUAAUAAUAGUGCAUUCAUGCCGAUCCCUAAUGAUGAUCGGUUUCCAGCUCAACCGGAAGAAGAAGGUAUGCACUUUAAUCUGUCAAUUGGCUAUAAAUAUCCACCAUUAUGUAUUGGGAAGUCGCCUGGUUGUUUAGCUUAUUCUUAACAGAAUUGGAUGUGGACUGUACCGUCCUUUACAAAUGAUUCUUAUCAAGUAUAUAAUGUGUUCAGUACUAACUCUUUUCAACUUCUCACUGUCAAACGUACCCCACAUGAGGCAUGGAGAGUUCCUCUCACUACCAAAACUAAUAAAACAAAAGGACUGCCGGACUGUCCAAAGAAACCUACAAAUGGGCCUUUUAUAGUGACUUCAAUUUUAUGGGAUAAUUGUAAUGCUCCCAAGGCUGUUGUACUCCAAACUCUAGCCAUGGGUAUUGUUAUUGAUUGGGCUCCAAAAGGACAUUAUUGGCAAGAUUGCUCCAGCAAAAAUACCUUAUGCUCGGAGUUUAUUUAUUCCUUAGAUUAUAUAGAGCAUGGGUGGCAGUCUUACACGAUGAGACAACGGGUGUCUCCUUACCCAUUUAAAUGGAUGGACACAGGUAUUGCUCCUCCUAGACCAAAAAUUAUUCAUCCCUUUUUUACCCCAGAACAUCCUGAACUAUGGAAAUUAGCUGCAGCUUUGUCGGGAAUAAAGAUAUGGAACACUACCUAUCAGCUCCUUCGUACUAAAACCAAAACACCCACAUUCAACAUCACCCUUAUUUCUGAAUGGGUGAUACCCAUUAGGAGCUGUGUCAAACCCCCUUACAUGCUGUUGGUUGGAAAUAUAAUUAUGAUGCCUGAUGCACAAACUAUAGAAUGUCAUAACUGUAAGCUGUUCACUUGCAUUGAUGCAACUUUUAAUCCCACUACAAGUAUUCUCUUGGUAAGGGCUAGGGAGGGGGUAUGGAUACCAGUUUCUCUACAUCGUCCAUGGGAGUCUUCCCCCUCUAUUCACAUAGUCAAUGAAGUUCUUAAAGACAUCCUCAAAAGAACAAAGAGAUUUAUUUUUACUCUUAUUGCAGUCCUUGCAGGACUACUUGCGGUUACUGCAACAGCAGCAACUGCUGGAGUUGCCAUCCGCAGUUCUGUUCAAACUGCUCACUAUGUUGAAGCAUGCCAGAAAAAUUCCUCCAGACUUUGGAAUUCUCAGGCGCAAAUUGAUCAAAAAUUAGCUAAUCAGAUUAAUGAUCUCCGCCAAAGUGUAACCUGGCUGGGAGAUAGAGUUAUGAACUUGCAACACCGUAUGCAAUUACAGUGUGAUUGGAAUACUUCUGAUUAUUGCAUAACGCCUUAUGCUUAUAAUCAAGAUCAACAUAGCUGGGAAAAUGUCUCAAGACAUUUAAAAGCCUGGGAUGAUAACUUAACCUUGGAUAUUUCACAACUUAAAGAGCAAAUCUUUGAGGCUUCACAAGCCCAUUUAUCCACAGUUCCUGGCUCACACAUUUUUGAAGGCAUAACUAAACAAUUACCUGAUUUUAAUCCCUUCAAAUGGCUCAAACCCGUCAGAGGAUCAUUGUUGUUACUGGCAUUAUUAAUAUUGGUAUGCUUAUGUUGUCUCCUUUUAGUCUGCAGAUGCCUCUAAGGAGUCCGAAACCAAGUCCGAAGUCAACAACAAGCAAUGAUGGCGAUGGCGAUUCUAGUUAAUAAAAAGGGGGGAGAUGUGGGCGGCAAGCCACCCAGGCACCGAGGCAAGAGACAGAGGACACGAGCUGUUCCAGUAUAAUAAAAUAUAAAACAAGAAUAGUUAUACCAGAUAUAGAUCUUAGAUAUGAUUAUAUACGAAUAUCAUUAAUCAUGA